GCUGACAUAGACGUGUUACAAGUGUGGCUGCUAUGUCACAUAUGAGUCAGUAGGUGGCAGAAAGGAGAUAGGCUAUGUCCAUGCUCAAGGUUCUGACCUAUGAACUGAGUAAUUAGUAGUCUAAUAUU